GUAUCCAAACCAUUUGCUCGAGCUUUCCUCAAAUGAGUUAUUUUCUAUCCGGCUUCGGUUGUUAUAUCUGUAUCCAUAUAUUAUAUAUAAAAUCGAUUUAAAUAUAUAUAUGAGUAAAAAUGGUCUAAGCUAAUCUUUAUCAAAAUAUGAAUAAUGAAGUAGGGUUAUCAUAUGACUUCAAAUUAAAUGAGAAAAGAAUAAAAAUGGAAAGAUAGUCUUAUAAGAAAAUUAUCUACAAUUAAAAAAAUAAUAAUUUAGAAAAGAAAGUUGAUGCAACCAUUUUUAACUUUAGUUUUAUAAACUUGAUAAACCAUGACUAACCAUUUUCGUAGUUGUAGAUAUAAAUUAAAUGUAAUUUCCCGCAUGAUAUACAUCAAUAAUAUCAAAACUAAUCUCUCAUUCUUUUUCUGAGGCAAAUAUUUCUAAAUAGUGGUGUGAUGCUGUGAAUAGAGAGAUCGAUGCAAAAAUAGGCCAAGAACCGUGAUAUCCCAGUGGCUGCCUCACAUAGUAUCAAGAGCCAUGGAGGGUUCUCUUGAGUUUACAUUUGUUAUAUCGCAACCAAUUACUCAGUUGUUCUUUUGUUAAAUUACCAGAUGUCAAACAGUUGUGAAUAGCUAACCAUGUGGUAGUGGUAUUUUGUUUUUGUUUUUGUUUUUUUUGUUUUUUGUCACAAAUGGUAGUGGUAUUUUGAAGUAGCAUAUUUUAAAUCAUUCUUCUAUAUCAUUAUCUUUUAGGAUUCCCAAUAAUUUUCAAGUCUGUUUUGAAUAAAACUCUAUUUGAAAUUUAUCGUCUGCACUAUCCCACAAAGGCACAUCUUCGCCUUGCUCUCCAUGUUUCAACUUCGCAGUUUUCACUUCAAUCUCAUUCAGAAUGGAUGGUUGAUUUAUAAUUUCGUUUGUGACGAUUUUUAAGACUGGCUAUCAUAGCUUGAGCAGAUAUGUCCCAUAUGCUAAUUGUCUAUGUAGCCUUUUGAACUCAUUAUCUUAUAGUCUACUUUUUUCCAACUAAUAAUUAUUUCAGAAGAAUGAUUUUUAUAUUGACAAUCUGGACUUUGUAAAAAACCUUUCUGGAUGCUUGUUUAAUUAUUUUUUCCCAGACACAUGAGGUUCUGCAUACACAUUGUUCUUUACUGCUGAGAAAGUAUUUUAAAAAUGGAUUUGUGCUUGAGAUUAACUUAUCCCACAUAAUCGACCACGAUCCUAUUUGAAUAAUGAAACCAACCUAAUAAAAUAUGUUUUCAUAUUAAAAGGAAAUAAGUGAAAUUUACUUUUUUUUUAAAAAAUUAAGCGGUUGUGGAAGCACCGUAGCCUAUUGGUUAAUGUUUAAAGGUUUCUACACCCAAAUCUAGUGUUCAAAUCCCAGACUAUGCAAUUUAUUGCAGAUUAUAGGAAAUCCAGGUUGCAAGUUCCGGAAAGAGCGAUUUAUUAAACAAUUAUGCAGAUUACAGAAAAAAAGCUUACAAAGGAUCUUCAACAUGGUGCAAGUAAAUCUGGCCAGACGUGGAUCUUUAUAGAACAGUUCAGGUGAUGCAGUUAGGCGUAGGUUUUCAUAAGACAUGUAGUAUUGUCGGUUAUCGAAUCGUCUAUGUAAUCUUUCUCAUAUCAUAAUUGUAAGAUCGUAAUAAAUCAACGUUAAAAAAAAAAUUAAGCGGUGGUCGGAUAAAAAUUGGUGAAAUAUAAACAAGGUAUUAUCUAGACAUUAAUACGUCUUUAUAAUAUUAUUUGAUAAGUUAAUUUUUAUAGUAGCACUCAUGUUAAUUCUUACGAUGAUUAAAUACAGAAACACCUUUAAUGAAUUUAAAAUAUUAUAUUUAAUCACCAUUAAUAAUUUUUUAUUUAGUAGUUUUUAAUUAGAUUUUAAUUCAAUUUCUUUUUCAGUAACAUAUAUAAUAAAAAGGAAAAAGUUUAUAAUUUUUUUUAAAAAAAAAAUUCUUAAUACCUAAUCUAAUAAUAUUGUUUGAAAAGUCAGUUUUAUACGUUUCACGCUCACGUUAAUUCUAACGACGGUCAAUUACAACGUUAUCCUUAAUGAAUCAAAUACAUCGAAUUGCUAUUACUAAAAAUUCUAUUUUAUUUUCUCUUUCCUUUUGUAUUUACUUUUUACUUUUUAUUUAUAUUGUUUCAAAUCUCUAUCCCUAUAAUGUUAUUUGAGAAGUCAGUAUUUGUCGUACUCACGUUAACUUUUGUGAAAGUUAAUAACAGAAUUACCCUUAAUGAAAUAAAAAUACUAUACGUAAUUGUCAUUAUUUAUAAAACUGAUUUCUUUUUCUUUUUGGUAAAGAUAAUCCGAAUUAUUUAAAAUUAAAGUAAAGAAUAGAUUAUUUUUUAAAAUAUUUUAAUUAUUUGUGAAAAUAUUAUCGGUGAAUUAUGUUUAGAUAUUUUUUGAGUCUGUCAUCACUUUAUUUUUUCUGAUUACAAGACAAGAAAUAUCAUAUUAUAAAACAUAUUACGAAAAUAUAUAUACACACAACCUGGAUGAUGAACUAAACUAAAUAUAAUGACAACUUUGUUUGACUUUUAGCCUAAUCAAAAUCACAAAUAUUUUAUUAAUUUUCAGAAAAAAUUGUAACUAAAUAUAAGUAACUUGACUUAUCUAAAUUCAUAUAUCUAACUAACUAAAAUAAUGACAUAUUAUUAUGUGUAAUAGUAUUCUGUUUAUUUUUGUACAUAUGACUUAAAGAAUGACUCAAAAUUUAUAGAUUAUUAUCUGCAAUAAUAUUUUAUUCACUUCUUAUACAUAUAAAUUAAAGAAUGACUCAAACUUAUAAAUAAUUAAAAUGAAGUAUUAACCCAUUAUUACAGCUAGGAACUAAUUAAUUACCAUUUUAGUUUAUAUUAUUUUCAUUUGCUUUUCCAAAUAACACAUAGAAAAUUAUAAAGUUCCAAAAGUCUAUUAUAAAUCUAAGACACCAAACUAUAUGGAAUAGACAAAAUUAAUCAAAAUUUUACCUAAUUUCAAAUCAAAAAGUUAUGAAUAAUAAAUACAAUAAAUAAAUCCAAAUAAUAAUUAAACCAAUCAAAUAUGUUACACCUAAAAUUACAUAUCUAAUUAAAAUAAUUACAUAAUAUUAUUUAAAAUAAUGAAAUAAUUAUACAAAUAAAUUAUUAUAAUUUUUUUGUUUUGUAAAUAUUUAAAUCUGUGAUAAGGAAGAAUCACCUAGUUAAGUAAUAUUUAGUAAUAAAUCAAACAAAAAAUUAAAACAUGAUUUGUUGUUGAUUAUUAUUCUCUUUCAGAAAAUAUCAAAACAAAAUUUAAAUAGUACUACAUUAGUUAUAUUGAAAAUGUAAGAAUAAAAGGAAUAUAUCUAAAGUGAAUUUUUUUAUAUAGAAAAAAUAGUUACGUAUAAUUAAAGUCCAUAGUAUUAAAUAGUGGCCACUAAAAGAUUGAAAUUUUGAGCCGACCUAGAAUAUCUCAGGUGGGUAGUGUUUGGAGAUAUCCGGAAAAGAAAAAGCAAUAAUUCAUUAACGUAACAAAUAAAAGCCAGUGCGGCGUUACAUUACAUGUUAAAUCACAUGAUUAUUAUCAUAUAUCAUCAGAGCAAUUGGGAUCCAAAUCAUCCAAUAAAAACAUUAUAAAUAUUAGAUAAUUCGUUUACAUAAAACAAAAAAACAUGUAUGUAUUGUUUCUAUACGUAUACUACUUCCCUCUCAUCUUUUAACUUAUAUCAUCAAUCAACUGAAAGAAAGAAGGAUCAUCUUCUUCUUCAACAUCGGAAGAAAAUGGCGACUGUAAUCGACGCGGCGACGCCGUAUAGACUUCUGGAGGAGGCGACAGGUUCUUCUUCGGAGGGAGAAUCGAGCCCCGUCGACGCCGUUCUCUUCGUCGGGAUGUCUCUGGUGCUCGGUAUAGCAUCGAGGCAUUUGCUUCGCGGGACGAGAGUUCCGUACACCGUCGCUCUCCUCGUCAUCGGGAUUGCUCUUGGAUCUCUCGGUUCGAUUUCGAUCCGUGUUUACUCUCACUAAGCUAUUUUAUCAUGAAAUUUGAAAAAAUCAUCCCCGAUAGCUGUUAAAGCUUUGUUUGAUCUCAAUUGUGGUUUUGGUUGUUUUCAGAGUAUGGAACUCACCAUAACCUAGGGAAGGUUGGGCAUGGGAUUCGUAUAUGUAAGUUGUUGAUUUAACUCAAUGGUGGUGAGCUUCGUUGUUCGAUUUCUCAUAUGUUAGUUACUUACUAUACACAGGGAACGAGAUUAAUCCUGAACUGCUUUUAGCCGUGUUUCUUCCGGCUCUGCUUUUCGAGAGUGCCUUCUCCAUGGAAGUUCACCAGAUCAAGGUUUAUGGGGAUUACUAAAUGAUCAAUACGUCUAUUAUCUUUAAUGAAUGGUCUUUACAUAUGUAAUGAAGCUGUAAAUAGAUGCUAAUUGCGCUGGUUCUUGUGAUGGAAUUAUUGUAGAGAUGUAUUGGACAAAUGGUGUUACUUGCUGGCCCUGGAGUUCUCAUUUCAACCUUUUGUCUGGCAUCGCUUGUUAAGGUUUGUGGUAGAGUUUCAUUAAGUAGCGGUUGACAGAAGAAUCAAUCAUAAAGGUUAUGAUAUUAUAUAGUAUGAUGCUAUUUGCAGCUCACGUUUCCGUAUAGCUGGGACUGGAAGACGGCGUUGUUGCUUGGUGGACUCUUAAGUGCCACAGAUCCUGUUGCUGUUGUUGCGUUGCUUAAGGAGCUUGGUGCUAGUAAGAAGCUAAGCACUGUUAUUGAAGGGGAGUCCCUGAUGAAUGAUGGGUAAUCAAUCAUGUCAAUAUUUGCUAAUCUUUUGUCAUAGUCUGGUUGUUUCAUCGCACCUAUUCAUCAUAAUUUUGUGAUUUUUCCAGGACGGCAAUUGUGGUUUUCCAGUUGUUCUUAAAGAUGGUUAUGGGGAAUAGUUCUGACUGGGGCUCUAUAAUCACAUUUCUGAUUAGAGUCGCACUUGGAGCGUAAGUCCUGAUCUUUUCCUCUUUUAAUGAGAUACCCAGUUGUUGUGUUCUUAGCAUCAUAAACGUUAUGGCUUUGUCUGUUUAGUGUGGGGAUCGGUCUGGCUUUUGGCAUUGUCUCGGUUCUUUGGCUCAAGUUCAUAUUCAACGACACAGUCAUAGAAAUCACCCUUACGAUUGCAGUCAGCUACUUCGCAUAUUACACUGUACGUCUUGCUGUAGACCUGAAAAUCUUGUGCCAAUAUAUUACUUUUGUAGUACAAAUGAGAAUUAGCUUCUGUGCCACAGGCUCAAGAGUGGGCUGGGGCUUCUGGUGUUUUGACGGUGAUGACUUUGGGCAUGUAAGGUCCAGCUAUCUCAUUUUUCCUUUCUUUUGUCAGCAUGUAAGAAGGCUCUUGUUAUUUAAUAAUAACUGUAACAGGUUUUAUGCUGCGUUUGCAAGGACAGCAUUUAAAGGUGACAGCCAAAAAAGUUUGCAUCACUUCUGGUAUUUCUAAAGCUUGUGGAAUUGGAAUUUUUCUGUUUAGCAUAAUACUAUGGAAAAGGUGUAAGUCAGAUUUUCUUGGUAACUUGUGCAGGGAAAUGGUCGCAUAUAUUGCAAAUACUUUGAUUUUUAUCCUCAGGUAAAGCUACAAGCAUAUAUAGAUUCAUCUCAUGCUUGGGCCAUGCCAACCCUAAGAAAUAAGCUAAUGGGUAGCAAAAAGCUAUUUUACUCCACUCUAUCUUUAGACACUGCUACAGUAUAAGUUGCUUCUCAUUUUGUUUUGUAGUGGUGUUGUCAUUGCUGAAGGCAUUCUCGACAGCGAUAAGAUUGCCUACCAAGGUACCAUUUAAUGUUGAAAGUUUGCGGUAUACUUUCUUUACUAAAGUGAAUUCUGUUAGAUUAUAUGAACCUAGUUUCUGUAUAAAAUUUAUCACGCCAAUUGUGUAUAGAAGCUGAGUCUCAAAUCAUUGCUCUUUUCCACCUGUUUUAUCCUAUUACCGUGAACAGGCCUCUGUUUACAUGGUAUUUGAUUCUCGACAGGUCAAUUGUUUCUUUAGCAUCAAUUAGUGUCAAAAGAAAAAAACCUUGCAUCAUUGGUUUGAGGAAAGUAAUGUAGCAUAAUUGCCACUGUGCCAGGACUUAACAAUGUGGUCUUUCACCAGUCGGUUGAUUAUUAAGUAGAUGUGAGAUUUAGUGUGCCAGGAACAUGCCCGCGUAAGGUGCAUUUAAGAACUCUCAAUGACCCAUGUUUUCUACAGGGAAUUCAUGGGGAUUUCUUUUUCUACUAUACUUUUACGUCCAAGUAUCACGUUGUGUUGUUGUUGGAGUUCUAUACCCAUUGCUAUGUCGUGUUGGCUAUGGGUUGGAUUGGAAAGAAGGCAUUAUACUAGUAUGGUCUGGUUUGAGGGGUGCAGUGGCGCUCUCACUUUCUUUAUCUGUGAAGGUUAGUUUUCAAGAACAUUGUCAUUCUUGUUCUUGUGUCUCUUGAAUUUAUUUAGCCACAUUGCUUCAGUCUUAAAUUAACUUAUUCUUAAUCAUUUGAUUCAGCAAUCAAGCGGAAAUUCAUUUCUCAGCAGGGAGACAGGAACAUUGGUAAGUUCAGAAAAUUGUCUGCAAGGUGUUAUGCCUAAAUGAAUUAUAGAAGACUUAUCUUUUCGGUCUCUUGAUAUUCUCAGUUCUUUUGCAGUUUAUUUUCUUCACAGGUGGAAUUGUGUUUCUAACUCUGAUAGUUAAUGGUUCCACUACCCAAUUUGCUCUGCGCCUUCUUCGAAUGGACGGUUUACCAGCCACAAAGGUCAUAAUCUUUUCACAGACUUCAUUUUCAACUUAAGUAUGCAAAUACAUAGUAUGAAAUGCUUAAACCCCUUUAUUUAUUCGAAAUUCUCCAUUUUUCUUGUUGACAGCUACGAAUCUUGGAUUAUACAAAGUAUGAAAUGCUGAAUAAGGCCUUACAAGCGUUUGAAGAUCUAGGAGACGAUGAAGAGCUAGGACCUGCUGACUGGCCUACAGUUGAAAAAUAUAUUUCAAGCUUAAAAGAUUCAGAAGGGGAACAAGUUCAUCCUCACAGUGGCUCUAAGACUGGAAAUCUUGACAGUACGAGUUUAAAGGACAUACGUAUACGAUUCUUAAAUGGUAACUAUCAUGUCAUUUUCGAACCAAUUACACUUAUCCCAUUAGUCAAAUUAUUUACCCUUAGUUCAAUCAACAGGUGUUCAGGCAGCUUACUGGGAGAUGCUUGAUGAGGGAAGAAUAUCUGAAAGUACAGCUAAUAUAUUGAUGCGGUCAGUGGAUGAGGCCUUGGAUCGGAUUUCUACGGAGUCUUUAUGUGACUGGAGAGGUCUAAAAGAGCAUGUUAAGUUCCCCAGUUACUACAAUUUUCUUCAUUCUAAACUUAUCCCAGGGAAGUUGGUCAUAUACUUUGCUGUUGAAAGACUCGAAUCUGCUUGCUACAUUUCCGCUGCAUUUCUUCGCGCACAUACAAUUGCGAGGCAGCAACUGUAUGAUUUUAUAGGUAUGUAUGACUGACUGGACCAUCUAUCAGAGAUAUUGUUUGCAAGUACCCUACUUUUGUCUCUUAGUUAUCUUUCUUCUUUAUACAGGGGAGAGUAGUAUCGGCUCUACUGUAAUCAAGGAGAGUGAAACCGAAGGAGCGGAAGCUAAAGAGUUUUUGGAAAAAGUUCGAUCUUCACUUCCACAGGUUGAUAGUCGUGUCAGUUAUUUAUGGUGAUUUAUCUUUAUCGCGAUGAACCACAUAUAAUCUUUAAUCAACUUGGUUUGUAGGUUCUCCGUGUUGUGAAAACGAAACAAGUAACAUAUUCAGUGCUGAAUCAUUUACUCGAAUACAUUCAAAACCUUGAGAAGAUUGGCUUGUUGGAAGAAAAAGAAAUCGCUCAUCUUCAUGAUGCUGUCCAGGUACCAAAUGAAAGAAUCAUAUUCUUUCAACACAUGGUCAUGUCUCUUUUUUCUAAUUUUACUUCUCUCUCUCUCUGUCUUUGCGCAGACUGGCUUGAAGAAGCUUCUGAGAAACCCUCCAAUAGUAAAACUUCCAAAGUUAAGCGACCUGAUCUCCUCACAUCCGUUAUCUGGUGCUCUUCCUGCUGCAAUAUGUGAACCUCUAAAACACUCGAAGAAAGAAACAAUGAAGCUGCGUGGUGUAACGCUUUAUAAAGAAGGUUCAAAGCCAACUGGAGUCUGGCUUAUUUGUGACGGUAUUGUUAAGGUAAACCCAAAACUUAGUCAUAAUAUCGAAAGGUUCAUGAUCUCCUUCAUCACUGAAAGUUAUCAUGAUAAAUCAUAUUACAGUGGAAAAGCAAAAGCUUAGGCAACAAUCACUCGCUACAUCCAACUUUCUCUCAUGGUAGUACAUUGGGACUCUACGAAGUUCUCACUGGGAAGCCAUACAUGUGCGACAUGGUUACAGAUUCUGUGGUUCUUUGCUUCUUUAUCAGUAGUGAUAGAAUACUAGCUUUUGUACAUUCGGAUUCUACCAUUGAAGAUUUCCUUUGGAAGGUACGUCUCUAUUCAAAUCCAUUAAAGAGAAACAUCCUCUCGUGAUUGUCAACUUCUUUCCUGUUUCUUCUUUCUCCAGGAAAGUGCAUUGGUGCUUCUCAAACUCCUGCGUCCUCAGAUAUUUGAAAAAGUGGCAAUGCAUGAAUUACGAGCCCUUGUUUCCGCUGAAAGCUCAAAGCUGACAACAUAUGUAUCUGGAGAAUCAAUCGACAUCGAUUACAACAGCGUCGGUUUGUUAUUAGAAGGAUUCAUUAAACCAGUUGGUAUCCAAGAAGAGCUUGUACCAUCUCCUGCUGCAUUGCUACCUUAUAACGAGAAUCAAAGCUUCCGUAACGCAUCAGAAGCUUCAGGUAAACAAAAAGUCAACACAGAAUACAAAGAAGAAUCAAACCCUCUUAUCAAAAACUCUGUUUUUUUUUUGAUCACAGGUAUCAUGAGAGUUAGUUUCUCAAGACAAGCAACACAAUACAGUGUGGAGACAAGAGCAAGAGUAAUCAUCUUCAACACCGGAGCAUUUGGAGCUCAUAGGACUCUACAACGGAAACCAUCUUCGUUGUCAUCGCCAAUUGGGUCAAGCUCCGAGCACCAGCUCCAGAGAUCAUCUAGUAAAGAACACAGAGGUCUCAUGAGCUGGCCUGAAAGUAUUUACAAAGCUGAACAUCAAGAAGAGAUCAAUAGAAAGGCAUUAAACUUAUCUGAACAAGCAAGACAACUUAGCAUUUUCGGCAGCAAGGUAAUAAAACAUACACUUUGAGAUUCAUUAUGAGAUUGUUAACUUCUCGACUAACAAGAAACGUUCUGAAUCAGGUUAAUCUGUUCACAAGGAGUGCAAGUUUCGGUGGGAUCAUCAACAACAAGCCACAAGAUAACGUAUUGUACAAGAAACAUCCAUUAGACGCAGCGAAAUCAGAAAGCUCCAUGGCCACCAGGGAGCAGGUUGAGACCAGGAAGUUUGUGUCUCAGCUUCCUGCACACGUAGCCUCAGCAGAGAGCAGCACAAGAAGAAAACCAAUGGCGGAGUCGAGCGAUGAUGAAGAGGAAGGAAUCAUUGUGAGGAUCGAUUCUCCGAGCACAAUCGUUUUCAGGAAUGAUAUGUGAGGGCAUUGAGAUGUUUUGUAACAUAAUAAAAAAGAAGAAAAAUGUUAGCUUACAGAGUUAUUAUUCAAAAGAAUAAAAGUCAAAACAACAGACGCUUUUUUUUUAUGAAGGUUUGCUAGAAACAUUGAACAAAUCCACAGACGCGAUCUUUUUGUAUGCUCUUAUAUAUUUCCAUGUUAUUUGUUCAACAUAUCAAGGUUUUUUUUCUGUCAACUAACAAAUGGUGAGUAGAGGGGGAAGUAAUGAAAGUCUAAAGUUAUAUGGGUUGAGAACUAUAUAUUUAAAAAAUCAACGUAUUUAUAUACCCAUAAAGUAGGUACUAUAAAAUUGUAUUUAUUUAAAUUUAUUCAAAUUACCAAUCAUCAACAUGAGAUCAUAAUUAAGGAAAACUAGAUUUUGACCCGCGCUUUCAAAGCACGGGAUUUGUUUCUUCUUAAAUCUUAUUUUAAAAUAACAAAUAUUUAUUAAUUAUAAGAUUAAGUUUUUUUUAUAUCUAACCUAUCUAAUAGUGUAAUUAUAAUUGUGUUGAUUGUUUAGGUUUUUAAAAUAUUUUGUAGAUGUUAAAAAUGUUACAAAUUUAUCCUCAUAUAUAUAUAUAUAUAUUUUAAUUAUUUUUUUUUAUAAUGCUUAAAAAAAUUUAAAUGAUAAAUUGAACUAACUAUUAUUUUCUGAGAAAAUAUUCAUAUAGUUCUUCUCUUCAUUUUUUUAUAUUUCUAUUUAUAUUUAAAUGACAACCGAAAUAUUUUUUCUCUUUAAAAACAAUUUUUUUAAGUCUUAAACAAAAAACCUACCUAAUAUUUUGACCCAAACGGAAAAAGAUGCAAGUCAAUAGUUUAGGUUAGAUAUUCUUUAGGAAUAUUUUUCUAUUUUGCAUCAAAUACUACUCGGGUAGAUAUAUUGGAAACAAUGUAUAUCAUGUUUAAGUCCUAUUUUAUUAUAGCUUUCCAUAUCUUUGGGUAAUAUUAAUUGAUGAGAUACUCCUUUCCUACAAAAGGGGAGGGAAUAUUUUGAUUUUUUUUUUCAAAACGUAAAAGAUUUGGAUUGUUGGCAACUUGGUUUUAAGGUAGUGCAAUUUGAUUGUUUAUGACUGGAUAUAUAUUCUGGCCGAAUUUAUUUAAAAUAAUAAAAAUGACAAUGGCAUAGCAAUUUAAAUAAAUUGAGAAAUUAAGGGCAUAAUCCUAGUAGAGAUUCUGUUUUAAUAGUAUAGAUUUGAAACCAAAAAUAAUCAGAGCAGCAUGAAAGAAAAGGGUUUCAACGGUAGCUUAAUUAGAGAUAAAAACAACAAAAUAUAUUAACUCAUUAAACUUUAUUAGCAAAUCUUGUUCUUGUUAGUCUUCUUUGUCUCCACAAACUUCUUCCAAUAUGCCGUAACUUCCCUCGUCGUCUCCUCCUCCGUCUUCUUAACACCUUUAGCUUUUCCAUUAGCCAUCUUGGCGUGAACCUUCGCCGGAAGUGUAUCGAGCUCGCGAAGAACCUUCUCAAAGUCUGCGACCAAUCUCUCGGCUAAGGUUCGAGAGAAAUCUUCUCGAAUCACCACUCGGAGGACGGUGACGUGUUCUGCAUCCGCGGGCAUCGUGUAGGCCGGAACGAUCCACCCGAAGCGGCGGAGAGUUUCGGCCACUUCGAACUCGUCGUGGCGGCUAUUGUCUUUUAGAGAAAACGCCACUAAAGGAACACCGUUUUCUUUGGAGACAAUGUUGAAACGUCCAGUUUUCUCUAAUCCUUCUCUUAGGACCAUCAUGUUUUCGCGGCAAUUAUCCAUCACGUUACGAUAUCCCUAAACCCACAAAAAAUUAUCAAUCAAUAAUAUAAUUACUUUACAAAAUUAAGCAUGAUAAUAUGUUUUACUCAGUUAUACGUAGUUUUCAGCAAAAGACCAGUUCAACAUUUUGGGGACUUUGAGACCAUAUCUAUUUUUAAAAAGUUUUACUAAAAUUUCUCUUUUAAAAAUUUAGAAAUAAUAUUUUUGAACAUUUUAUAACUUCCCCUUAUAAUAUAUACACAAAAUAUCUUUAAAUUUUAACCUAAUAGUUCAAAAAAUGGUUGAAGAAGUUUUGGAGAUUUUAUCGGAAGAACAUCAUCGGAUUAGACGCAGAAUGGUCGCACCACUUGUUUCCUCCUAAACCAGCACUGUUCAGUCAUUUUAAGUUACUAACCUCGAAUCCAAGACGAAUCAGCUGGUAGUACUGAGCAAUCACUUGACUCGAACCUAGUUUACACAAGCAUUAACAAAUCAUUAGUUAUGCAUACAAUAUACAAUAUGAUUUUUAUACAAAUAUAGAAAUGGUAGUGUAAUAUGCUGCUACCUUUGGAGAAGUUGAGAGUGAAGGUGGGUUGAUCAGCGCCAAGAUAAUUGAUGUGGAAGAUAAGUUCUUCCGGCAGAUCAGAUUUGGUUCUCCACACAACCCAACCGAUUCCGGCAUAAACCAAACCGUAUUUGUGACCACUCACAUUUAUGCUCUUAACCAAUGGUAACCGAAAGUCCCACUCCAGCUCCGGAUACAAGAACGGUGCAAUAAACCCACCACUCGCUGCAUCCACGUGAAUCCCCGUAUUCCAUCUGCGAAUUAAAGAAAAAAAAUUUAAAAACCGGAAAUGAACCGGUUAAAAUCGAUUAAUUACUAGCUACAUGUUAGUUUAAUUACCCGGUUAGCUUGUUUUUCUCGACUAGGAGGUCGUUGAGGAGCUUAACGUCCUCGAACUCUCCGGUUAGCGUCGAACCUAGAAUGGCUGCUACACAAAUGGUGUUCUCGUCUACCAUUUCGACUGCCUUUUCAGGGUCCAUCACGUAGUAUCCUUCUCUUAGCUUCACUUCCUUAAGUUCCACUUCGAAAUACCUUGCGAAUUUCUCCCAGCAAACCUAUAUUAAACCGGAUAUUAGUAAACCAUAGACCUUAACCGGAAAUAUCAUCUUUUGGUUGAAUAUCUUAAUUUUCUGGUUUGUUUAGCUCUGUAAUUUGAGAAAACAAAAGAGAACUAAGACUCAAUUAGAAUUUUCUGGUUUGGGGUUUCAGCUUGCGGUUUAGAUUUCUGUUUCAAGAUAGAGAAAUAAUGAGCUAAACCGGUUUAAUCUUGUGCUUUGGUUUACCUGAACAUUAGCUCCGGUUACGAUAUUGGGCUUGUCAUAAGGAAGCCCUUGGGCCUUACGCUUGUUCUGCCACUGUCUCUUAAAAGCCAACCCGGCUAACAUAAUCGCCUCCGACGAUCCCACGGUGCCGACACCAACCGCUGCCUCGCCGUCAUCGAGCGGAGCGUUAAAGAGACGCGCAAUCAUGUUGACGCAUCGGUUCUGAAGCUCGGUGGUGACAGGGUACUCUUCCAUGUCAACGUAGUUCUUGUUGAUGGAUUCCAUCAUGAGCUUGUCACACUCUGGCUCCAUCCACGUGGUUACGAAAGAGGCUAGGUUUAGCCUAGGGUUACCGUCGAGCAUUAGCUCAUCGUUGAUGAUCUGAUACGCUGCUUCCUUAGGGAUAGAGUUCUCAGGCAUCUCGAAUCUGAUGAUGAUGAAGACAUUAGGUUAAAAAUAUAAAAGCAUAUUAACGACGUAACAAGUCAUGCAAUGAAACGUUACUAUUAGUUUCAUGCAAUAUUUCAUAGUUCAUAUUCUUACCGUGGGAGAGAGAUGCGGACGUAACGAGAAGCAAAAGUUGAAUGGAUUGAAGCAUCAGUUUCAGAAGCUGUCUUAGACAAAACCAUCUUCUUUCAGUUCACUCAAAUUGUCUAUGCAAACUUUGAAUUAUAUAUGGGUUUGUAAUGUUUAUGUUUGUAGUUGAAGAAUGUGUGGAAUGAGAAGACGAUAAACAAAUGGUUUAUAUAGUGGAAGAGAAUGGUUCGUUUUGUUUCGUUUUGCGACGUGAGAGGAAGCAUCUAUGGUCUUCGUUUAUGGGCUCCUUUGUAACUUUUCUCCUACCGAUGACUUUUCAUUAAUAUUAUAAUAUCACAGACCAACGAAUCAUUGCUUUCAAAAACUGCAUGAGUAUUAUAAUUAAAUAAAAUAAUAACAGUUGACCGUUAAAAGAAACUUAAUAAACCAUUUAGUGAUUUAGAGAUUUCUACUAUCAUAUUUUAAUUGGUAAAUCCUAAACAUUUUAAAUGGUAAGAAAAUUAUAUUUGACAUGUCUUAACAAUUAAUUAGUACAUAUCUCAUGUUUUUUUCAGCAUCAGAUUUACGGUGUAAAAAAUAAUAUUUAUGAUAACGUACAAGUAUAAAGUAUAAUUGAUGGCAACGUGAAAGAUAAAAUAAAAGUAUGUAUUUUGUCGACAUCAAGGAAAAUAAAUUUGUUUACGUGUGGAAUAUAAGCAAACAUAUUAUUUUUCUUAUUUUUUGGGCAGCAAACAAACAAUCCAGAGGCGAGGAAGGGCCUAGUAAGCGACAAAUUCAGGAGUUGAAAAUAAGCAUAGAUCCAAAGAUCCCGAAUAGGUUAACCAUACUUAUUUGCGUCUUUUAAUUUUUUCAUCUUUUUUACAUAAUAAUUGUGGUUCGGUUUUAAUAAUAACAAAAAUAUAUAAAUAUAUAUAUAAAUUUUUGUUAUGGUUAACUGCGGUAUGCAAAUUCAUGUGUUACUAUUCGAAGUCAUAAGUUUAAUUAAAAGCUUUCUGUUUUUGUUUCACAUGCAAGAUAUAUUACAUGGUAGGAAAAAAAUAAAAUAAAAGUGUGGGGAGAAAUCAAAUAAUGAAAUUAGCAUUUUGAUUUUAGCAGAAUGAAACUAGCAUCUUCAAAUUGCAUGUAUAAGUAUACAUCAGAUUGUGUUUCGAAAAACAGAGAGUAUAUAUAUCAGAUAGAAUUUGAAUGUGGUUCUUUACACUAAAAAGUAUACAGCCGAUAGAGAAUCCGAACCCAGUAAAGUUUUGUUGCUGAAAUCGCAUUUUCUGAAACUACGUACAUUACCAUUUUAAGUGUUUACAUCAAUGUGAAACAGAUUAGAUUCCUUGUUCUACACACGUAAGAAAUAAUCAAAUUCAUUAUGAUCAGUACUUGGCCUUGAUUCGACUAUCGUAUAGAUGAAUUUAACUGGAAUCAGAGCUACGUUUUUGAACAUUACGUUUCCUUUUGGUUGAAAUUCAACACCAUGUUAAAAUGUUGAGUUGGAAUUAUUUUGUUUUUUUACCAAUGUGGUUUUGGCACAGUGAUUCUGUGGAAGCUCAGUUCCAUGGGUUUGAACAGCGUUUGGAGGGGAUUGGAGGGGAUGAAGGAUUAAGGAACCGGUUCUUGUUCCUGAUCUCAGGGAUUAGUCGGAUCUCUAGGGCUCGGAUGAGCUGAGUCAUUAAAAAAAAUAUUACUUUGAUUUUUUCUUUUAACAUUUCCCAGAUUGAUCAGUUUAUGAAAAAAAUAUGCAUAGGGACUACGACAUCUAAUUUUUUUUUUUUUUUUGUGAUGUUUGUUAUUGCUGUGACGUUGCCAAUACUACAAUUUGGUUUGAACACCUGUCUGUAUAAAAACUGAGGACCAAAUUCCACCGUGUAUUGGUAGUUUUGGUACCAACACUAAAAGGCCUGUUUAAUAUUCGUCAUUUUUUUACAUAUCUGUAAAGUAUAGUUAAAAAAACAAUCAAAUAAACGUCAAAACCAUGACUGAAUUAAACAAACAAAGUUAGCGAAAAAUCAAGCCUCCCACAGGUUUCGACUAGGCUGGGCUUAGGUUAAUCGACUAUGUUUAUUUUUAUAAAUCCACUUUUGAAAAAUGAAAAUUACUACCUAAUCCAACAUUGUUUUCUUUUCUAGACUAUAUUUUGUUAUUACUAUCUUUAGAAGUUUUUAAUUUGAGUUUCUUAAUGAACGGUAGAUUAAUCUUUUUUACCCUUAAUUAUGUUAGUCAAACUCAUAUGCGAUUUUAUAUCAGAUAAAUCCAUUUGCUAUUUCCUCAUCUGCCCCAGAAAAUAAACACACCCUUUAUUCGAACCAACACAUAUCAUUUUUCAAAAUAUUUAAUCAAAUGAUACUUUUCGUAACAAUAUUUUAUUUUGCAGACAAAAAUAUCUGUUGUGUGGUCAUUUUAGAAUACUAAGUUACUAACCGAUCAAAAUAGCAUUGAUGACAUCUAAUUUACAAAAAUAUAUUUAAAGUUCAGCAUCCGUUUUCAUUACAGUUUUACAGGCAUCAUGGAUGCAUUGGAUGCAUUUCACGUAUUUUUUUUCUUUCUGAAAGAGCACUAUCCUAUUAUUAUUUUGUUUAAUAUACUAGUCCAAUUUUGUCCAAAAACAAAUCUACUACUAGUCCAUUCAAUUGAUUUUUGGGGAUUUUUUAAUGAGUGGCCGUGGUACUUAGAGCAUGAGCAUUGGUGAACCCCUCUUUGGGGUUCACAAGAUUUUUUUAAUAUUUUUUUGUGGGUCCAUGAAUAGUUAAGAACCUGUAAUUGAUUUUUUCUGCAUUGGUGAACCUGAAGACGGAGUUCAAAACAAUAAAAUAAUAAAUUUUUUUUUUUUUAAAUAUUCAAAUUAUCCAGAAAACAAGAAUAAAAUAUUUAAAUUAUUAUUAAAUUUUUGAAAACUAUUUAUUCAAUACAUUAAAAGAGUAGAUUACAUAAAUUGAGAAAUAGAAAAACAAACGAAGUUUAUUCAUCUUCAUCACCAAACUUUUGCCAAAUAUUUUCCAUUAAAUCAGCUUUCAAACGAGCAUGCUUCUCUUGAUCUCGAAUUUCUCUGCGCAUGCCUAACAUAUCACCGGCAUGAAUACUUUCUCUGGUUGUCACCUUUGAACUUCUGCUUGACUCUCCUGAUUCGAACUCAGAAGUAUUUAUUUGAGCGUAUCCGUGUCGUUCGUUCUCUACAAUCAUAUUGUGCAAUAUGACACAAGUUCUCAUUAUCUUUCCUAUCUUUUCCUUGUCUCAUUGUAGAGCUGGGUUUUUAACAAUUGCAAACCUCGACUGCAAUACUCCAAAAGCCCGUUCGACAUCUUUUCUGGCGGAUUCUUGCUUUUCUGCAAAUUUCUCGGCUUUAAGACCUUGAGGAAGUGGGAUGGAUUGGAUAAAUGUUGACCAGUUUGGAUAAAUUCCGUCAGUAAGAUAGUAGGCCAUACGAUAAGUGUGGUUGUUGACCUUGAACUUAACUUUAGGUGCUCGACCAUGUAAGAUGUCAUCAAAAACAGGUGACCGAUCAAGAACAUUGAUAUCGUUGAGUGUACCUGGUAAGCCGAAAAAUGCGUGCCAUAUCCAAAGAUCUUGUGAUGCCACGGCUUCUAAGACAAUUGUCGGCUUUCCUGAGCCCCGUGUGAACUGACCUUUCCAAGCCGUUGGGCAGUUUUUCCACUCCCAAUGCAUACAGUCGAUGCUGCCUAUCAUUCCCGGAAACCCGCGUACCUCUCCAACAUCGAGUAAUCGUUGAAGAUCCUCGGCUGUAGGGCUUCGUAGAUAUUCUUCUCCAAACAAUUGUAUUAUUGCAUCAGUGAAAUUUGCCAAACAUAAACGUGCUGUACUGUCACCAAGUCGGAGAUAUUCAUCAUAUGUAUCUCCCGAUUGACCAUAUGCCAACAUACGUAUAGCUGCCGUACACUUUUGAAGUGGAGAAAGCCCGUUCCUUCCGCAAGCACUUCGUCUUUGCUGAAAGUAUGGAACUUCAUUACUUAUACGUUCGACAAUGCGAAGGAACAAUGGCUUGUUCAUUCGAAAACGCCUCCUAAACAUUUCUGGUGGGUAUGUAGGAUUAUCAUUAAAAUAAUCGUUCCACAGCUGAUUGUGUCCUUGUUCCCGAUCUCUUUCGAUAUAAGCUCGUCUCUUCGGCUUGUUGGGGUGAGCAUGAAUCACUGAGUCGAUGUAAUUAUCAACAACUUGGUCGACCAUUUCUUCUAAAGCUUCAUCAACUUCAUCACUCGAUGAGGAAGACAUUGGUGGGUUAUUUUUUUCCUAAAAAACAAAAGGAGAUUUGUAACUUAAAUUUAAUAAAUUGUACAUAAUUCUAUAAUUCUAUUAAUUUUUUCAAGGUCUAUUAUAUCAAUUUUUUUCAUUAAUCUCUCUUAUUUUUCCACUUGAUUUCAUUUUGUAUCUAAAUCUAUUGGGUUUUCAAUUUUUAUCAUCUAAUAAAUUGCACAUAUUUCUAAAAUUCAAAAAUGUUUCACAUUAUAUCAUCUUUUUUCAUAAGUUUUUAGUUUCACUUACCUUGGUACCUUGAAGAAAGAAGGUUGAAGAGUUGGAAGCUUGAAGCUUGUUGUUUGACUUAGGUUGGAAGCUUGAAGCUUGUUGUUUGAGCACCACGAUGACAAAGAAGGUUGUUGAAGUGUGGUGGUACAGAAGAUAGAUGGUUUACAUAAGAUAGAUGGUUUACAACUUGUUGAAGUGUUAUUUUGGUUGGAACCUUGAAGUUAAUUGUCGCUUUUAUUGUAGUGAAAUGGGACAAAGAAGAGAAGAGAACUAAGAGAGAAACAAGUUGUUGUGCUUAUAAAGUUAGGAACACAUAGUUUAUAUAGAGACAGAGAUCAAGUUUAUUACAUCCGUGAAUCAAUGUUACAACAAAACAAAAGAAGUCACUGUCUGAUCCGUGACUGAAGUGUAGCAUGAAACAAAAGGCUACACUUUCACCUACUAUCCGCGGCUUAACAUAUAGAAACAAACAAAAGACACCUUCACCUGCAACACCUUCCCACCCGUGACCUGCUAGACCGUGUCCUUUAAACCCGUGACCUGCAAAAGAAAAGACAAGAUUUUCAAUCAACCAAAAGAGAAGUAAUAAAACCAUUUAGAGAUGAAGCUCUACGAUUCAAUCAAGCAAAACAACUUAGCAGAUUCAAUUAAGCUCUACGAUUCAAUCAAAUUAAUAAACAUUGAAGUAAGCAAAACUACUUAACUGACCAACUAAAGCAUUUCUGAGAUGAGUUUAGUCUUAAGAGCUAUUUCUUGAUCAGAAAGUGUUUCCACUUUUUUGGCUAGGAGGCGAUCAAGUAUCUUUUGUUUGGAGAUGGUAUUUUUCUGAGCAAGGAUGAUAUGGAUUUGAUCAAAAGCUGCCUCGUUUGGCUUUUUUCGCUUCGCUGCUUUGCUGGCCUUAACACCCACCGGCCUCGCCUCUUCCUCCUCAACCACCACCUCCGCAUCAGCUUCCUUCCUUUUCUCCUUCGAGAUAGCGUGGGAUCUCCAUUUCUGAUCGAACCUCAGUUCCCUCCAGCAGUGUUCUAGUAUGAACUUCUGUUUGUAGUCAUUGAAGAAGAUGUCAUGCGCUGCCUUCUUCUUUGGUUUUCCACUUUCUCCUUUCUGGAGGCUUAACUAUCCCGGGAGAGUUAACACCUGGCUCAGCAGAGUCUACGUCUAUUGGUGGACUGCUCUGCGAAGCUAACAGGUUCACAAACCCGGGAGAGUUAAGGGAAAAAGGGUCCAUGUUUGUGGUGUUUUUGUUUGGGUUCGUGUUUAGAUGUUUCUGUGAAUUUUAAGUGUGGAGUUACUAUGUUUUUAAAGUAGUUUGUACGUCUACAAUGAGAGCAAAUUAAAAGGACUCUACCAACCAAAAUUAAUUACACAACCCAUUACAAAACUACUAGAUACCUAUGAGCAGAUACACAUCAAAUCAUGCGAAACAAUUAACUCUUCUAGUACUAGAUACCAAAAUUAAUUACACAAGCUAUUAAUGUUUGUUUAUAAAAUAUCUACUUGUACAUCUAGUUCUCCUUCUAGUUCUUGUUGUGGUUGUAGUUAACUUUAGUCCUAGUUCUAGUUGUACUUCUAGUUCUACUUCUAAUUCAAACGACAGAUAUCAAUGAGUCUAACCUUUCGUUGUCAAUCGAAGCAGACCUUCUCGAGGGUAUCGACCUGCACACUGAGGUCAUAUACCUGCUCGUUGAGUAAUUUAACCUGUUCCUGGACAAAGGAUAUUUGUGUUAGUCACUGUAAAUAAAAAAUAUGGAAAAAAUUAUUACAGCGAUGAAAGAGGAAUGUUUCACUAACCUCAAGUGUCUCGAUCUGUUUUGUGAGAUGCGAGACCCCCAUCAUCACCUGCUCAGCCUCCUCCACCCGUUUAGUCAGCCUCUCCAGCUCCUCCUGCAUACCUAUAACCCAAGGCUGACGAUAAUGGAACCCAUCAGCCUUGGUUACAACAUAAAUAAUAAUCAGAUUCUUUUGGAUUUACAACAAUAACAACAAUGAUAUACAACUUACCAAAGUGCAGUUUUACACGAGAGACUUUACCUCAUAGUUUUUGCACGUAAAGAACCGCUUCCCAGGAAGAGUGUCGUAGUCCUCCUUCCCGCAAACCUCGUUAAUGAGUCUCCCACCACACGGACACCUUUUAGGAAUCCCGUACUCGGAAUCGGCCACGAACCCUAACAUGUUGAUGUGGUGGUUUUGCCUCUUUGAAUGUCUUCUAUCUUCUGCCGGAUCCAUCUGAAAAAAAUUUGAAAAUUUUGUCAAAAUUAAACCUUAAUAACGAAACAAAAGGAUUAAACGAAACCAAAAUCAAACCCCCAUGACGAUUUAAACAAUAAAACGAAACCCAUAACUUGAUUUACAAAUAUUACUGGAAACCCGUAAGUCGAUAUGAAAACUCAGAUCAAAGAACCCAAAAACAUACCACCAUCACGAUCUCCAACCCUUUAUCGAAACCCAUAUAUCGUUUUACAUCCCUAACUCGAAACCCCCAAAUUUUUUUCAAAAUCCAAUUACGGCUUCCAACCCCAAAAUCGACCAACAAAACCUGGGAAACUACUCGAUACUCACCUACGCUCGUGGAUACUAGAGAUCGUCGUUGAUUAGGUGGAGCAAAUCGCCGGGAGUCGUCGUCGCACGAAAAAUCGCCUCUCACGCCGAAACCCUAGUUUUUUUAGAAAGAGGGGAAAAUGAGAUGAAUCACGACGAAGCCCUUCUUUCCCCCUCGUCAACGCGGAAUCGAUUGACAAACCCGAGCACGACACGUGGUAAAAAUCGCGCCUUACGGAUUCAUGCCCAAGGCCCGGUUCACGUUAAUUAUCGAUUUUUUCAUUUUCUUUUAAUGAAACGGGCCUAAGAUUUCGAGCCCAUGAACCGUUUAAAAACCGCUAAUGCGGAUGGUCUUAUACGUAAUAACGAGGUGGUACAAAGGGUAUAACUGUUAGACAAAAAAAAAACAGAAAAAGUCGACCCAUCAAGUCAACUCUAAACGCGCCAGUCAAUUGGAACAUGCAAAAGGAGACGGCAAUCGACGAAUACGCGUAAUAAGGAAUUAAGGAGGAUCUUGUUGUUACAAUCAAGAAAAGUUUGGGCAUUUUUUGUCAGACUUUGAAAGUCAAGGGGAAACAAUUAGUUUUACCAAAAUAAUACAUCUCCAAACUUUGCGUAUACAUUUGAACAUUACAGAAAAAGUCGCCGGUCGCCGGUCCGGUGGUCCGUCAGGCCAGAGUAAUCUUCUAAUUAGUUCUCUUUGAAGUGAAAACGAUGGGUUCCAUCGAAGAGGAAAGACCCCUCUUCGAACAAGGUUUUGUAUUAUUACAGGUUCGAUCAAGUUGUGUUCUUUGACUUUCAAUUUACUUGCCAGUUAUUACAAUUAGAUCAAGGAACCGUGGGUUUUCGUAUCUUAUGGUUUCUAUGUAUCAGUCAACUUUCGCUGAGCUAUAGUUGUGAUGCUUGCUUAUGUUAGCUAUAGUUGUGUUUGUCUGAACAUGUUUCUUGAUUUUGUUUAAGCAGGAAGUGAAACUGUAUGCUGAAGAUGGUUCAGUGGAUAUCCAUGGAAACCCACCAUUAAAGCAGAAAACAGGAAACUGGAAAGCUUGUCCAUUCAUUCUCGGUGAUAAAAACAAAAACAAAUGUUUCUUGUUUUGUCUUUGUUGUAGCUCUAAUCCUUUAAGACUAAUAAUGUCUGCACCGUUGCAGGCAAUGAAUGCUGCGAACGCUUAGCUUACUACGGUAUUGCCAAGAAUCUAGUCACUUACUUCACGACAAAAUUGCAUGAGACAAAUGUAUCUGCGGCAAGGCAUGUCAUGAUAUGGCAAGGGACUUGUUACAUCACUCCUCUCAUUGGAGCUUUAAUAGCUGAUGCUUACUGGGGAAGAUACUGGACUAUUGCUUGUUUCUCUGCCAUUUAUUUCACCGUAAGCAUUUACAAUUGUAUUGUUAUUUUCCUUUUUGAUAAUGUUCUUUGCUAACCAGAGGUCGUUAGCUCAAUUAAAAAAGAUUUUGGCCAUUGUAUCAAAAGUCUUCGGUUCGAGUGACCAAUGGAUGAAACUAAUAUUACAUGCCGUGGUUUGGGGCUACCUCCUCGUAUUCAAAUAAGAAUGAUAAUAAUGAUCUGUGCUUUGAUUUUGUUUAGGGAAUGGCGACACUGACACUCUCAGCUUCACUCCCGGGCCUUAAGCCAGCUGAAUGCAUUGGUUCUCUAUGCCCACCAGCAACAACAACUCAGUAUUCAGUGUUCUUUGCCGGUCUUUACCUUAUCUCACUCGGUACUGGAGGCAUAAAACCAUGUGUCUCAUCUUUUGGUGCUGAUCAGUUUGAUGACACUGACCCUCAUGAACGACCAAGUAAAACUUCUUUCUUUAACUGGUUUUACUUCUCCAUCAACAUCGGGGCUUUUGUCUCAUCUACUCUUCUAGUGUGGGUUCAAGAGAACUGUGGGUGGGGUCUAGGGUUCUUGAUCCCUACUGUUGUCAUGGGGCUCUCUCUCGUGAGUUUCUUCUGUGGUACUCCGCUUUAUAGGUUUCAGAAACCGGGAGGCAGCCCGGUUACUAGGGUCUGCCAAGUUCUUGUAGCUGCUUAUCUUAAAAUGAGUCUCAAGUUUGAUGAAGAAGACCAUACACUUCUGUUUGAAACACAAGACAAGCACUCCGCAAUACCUGGAAGCAGGAAGAUUGAGCACACAGACGGUUACAAGAAAAUAUCGUUUUAUCAUUUUGAAUAGAGAGCUUCAUGUUAUGGAGUGUUUAGGCCUGGGCAAAAAAAUCGGAACGGAAAAUCGGAAUCAGAACCGAACCGGAACCAGACCAAAACUUUCAAACCCGAACGGUUUCUAUAUUUUUAUAUCUGAAAUAUCCAAAUAUAUUAAAAAUAUUAAUUAUAUAUACAUAUAACAUAACUAAUAUAUAUAUAAUUAAAGAUUUAUUAAAUGUAUUAAAAAUAUUUUUUAUAAAAACAAUAAUAAAAAAAAAAUCUAAACUACCCAAAAUUAUCAGUUUUAUUUGAAUUAUCCAAAACAAUCCAAACUCUUCGAGAUUUUUAUUUAAAUUGUCUUAACUACUCGAUAUUUUAUCCGAAAUAUCUGAUAUUUUAUCCAAAUUACCGUAAUAACCGACCAAAACCAAAUGGGAACCAAAUUUUUUGGGUAUUAGAUGUUUCUAAUUUUACUAUCCGAACUGAUCUGAACCAAUCCAAAACCAAAAAAAUUCCGGUUCCUAUAUGGAUCCUCUAUCCCCUACCCAAAUGCCCGGGCCUAAAGAGUGUUCAUGGGGAAAUAAACUGGUUUCUCAUAUCAUAUGCAGGUGUCUUGACAAAGCCGCAGUUAUUACAGAACAUGAUGUCACAAAUGGUGUCACUCCUAACCCAUGGAAGCUAUGUACUGUGACUCAAGUAGAAGAAGUUAAGAUUCUGUUACGUAUGUUUCCCAUCUGGGUCUCCGGCAUCGUGUUCACAGCGCUCCAGUCUCAGAUAUACACCCUCUUCGUGCAGCAAGGACGGUCCAUGAAACAUACCAUAGGCUCAUUUGAGAUUCCUCCCGCUACACUCGGGAUGUUCGACACUGCAAGUGUGCUCAUAUGUAUCCCAAUCUACGACAAAGUCCUCGUUCCCUUUGUGAGACGGUUCACAGGCAGAGCAAAGGGAUUCACUGAUCUACAACGCAUGGGAGUUGGACUUCUUGUCUCUGUCUUGAGCAUGGCAGCUGCAGCUAUUGUCGAGACAAAGAGGCUACGUGUUCUCGGAGCAAUGAACAUCUUUUGGCAGGUUCCUCAGUACUUUCUUAUGGGCACAGCGGAGGUUUUCUUCUACAUUGGUCAGGUUGAGUUUUACUACGAGCAGUCUCCUGACGCGAUGAGGAGCUUGUGUAGUGCCUUGCCGCUUCUCUCUACUGCCUUUGGGAGCUAUCUGAGCUCGUUGAUCCUCUCGCUUGUGGCGUAUUUCACGACAAUGGAUGGUCAAGAUGGUUGGAUUCCUUCAGAGGACAUUGAUAAAGGACAUCUUGACUACUUCUUCUGGCUUUUGGUCUGUUUUGGUUGUGUGAAUAUUCCUGUUUUUGUCUUCUUCUCUGUCAAGCACUUGCAGAAAAAGGCUGCUUAAGCUUCAGCUUGGCUCUUGUUUGAUAUUUGUAUAUACGGAAACAUGUAAAAGUUAUGGGCCACUAUGUAAAACUAUGAAGACUUCAUUUCAUACUUAUUUGUAAAUAUGUCAUAAUAGUUCCUAUGCUACAUGUUGGCGGUUGUUUUUUUUUUUUUUUCCCGUCAAUAGUUGAUUUUAUUACUAAAUGGGCCAAGCCCAGAAUUACAAAAAAGACCCAAGGUCCACCAAACGAAACCCUAGAGAAAACUAAAAGCGGUGCCACCGUUCGCUCACGGCGUGCCCCCGCUUCGAGCCAUCCCCGGUGAUCAACCCAACGAUCCACCGGAAGAACCGUCACUCACUGGCUUCCAAGCCUCAUCGCCGCAAACACUUCCAACCGCGAGUUCCCAAUAGUGGAGAGAUUCAAUCGGUAACCCGAGAUCUCAUCCGUCUCCUUUCGUCACCGGAACUGGGAAGAAAGCUUCGCCGGCAGACCCAAACCUUCAACAUCGGAGAGCUUCGAUCGUCUUCCGACGCGAACUCCUCCAACUAGACCAAACCGAAACCGCAAAAACCAAAGAUAAAAACAAACCCUAACAAACCUAGGGGACUAAAAGCCGGCGGCGCAAGGCAAAGACCGCAUUCACCCCCCGGAAACUGAAGCCGGCGAAAGCGAAGCUAACGAAGCCUCCGCCUUCCGGAAACUAGACCGGCGGCGAUGGAUCUGUAGGAGCCUCCACCUCCCGGGAAACCCUAAUCUGACAAACCGACAUCUCCCCACCUCACCCUUCACCCAGUCGCGUCGUUACUCCAGCCACCGCGCCACCGUGUGAAUUUGUUCACUCCCCGAGUUGACCACUCCGGUUGGGAACUGGACACAGCUCCGACAAAACGAAUAGGAAGAGGAGGUGAAAAAGAAGUCGGGAAACAUUUUUAACCAAAAGAAAAUGGGCUCCGGCGACGGCACGGACGCUCACGCGCCGGCCGUACGCCGGACCCAAAACCAGAUCUGCUUUCUCUCUCUAAAUUGCUUUAUCUCUCUCCACAAAGCCACUCCCCCUUAUCUUGUGUUUUUGUUGGCGGUUGUUAUAUUUGAUGAAAAAAAGAGCAAAAAGUAAUUUGGUGUUGCCAAAUUUUGGCAUUUACUGCUUUUCAUGUUAUUAAAUAUAUAUAUUCAAAUGUUUCAUAAUCAUUAUGUUAAAUUUUAAUUUAACAUUUUUUUCUAAUAAAUAUUUUAUUAUUAUUUAUGAUCAGUUUUUAUCAAUAUUUUUAAAUUUUAAUUUAACAUAAUGAUGCUACUAUUCUAAAUAUUAAUUAACUAUGCUAUUACAAAUAAUAAAAAUAUUAAAAAAUAGUUAUAUAACCGUCAAUUUUAUUUGUUUUACGAAGAUUUAUGUCUAAUCUUAUCAUCAUGAACUGUUUUAUAAAAUCUACAUUUGUAAGCACUUUUUGUACCAUAGUACAUAUAUACGGUAUUUUUUUUACUAUGUACUAGAUAUUAAUCUUCACAUCCGUGCGGAUAUAUUUAUAUUUUUAAACUAAUAUUUAAAAUAUAAAAUAUGUUAUAAAGAUAUAUAUCUAAUAUCAAUUUUAUGUAUAUAAUUUUUAUUUUGAAAAUUUAUAUUUGUUGAAAUUUGUUUGAUGAUAUUGCACAAAUCAUAUAUUAAUGAAUUAUUUUUGUUUAUUUAUUUAAAAUGCAACAUCAAUAUUAAAAGUAAAAUUUUAAACAUUAGUUUAGAUGAAUUAAUUUUUAGCUUCUUUGUUUAGAAAUUUUUAUUCUCGAAAUGUUUUUAUAUGAAUAAAUUAAAUUAUUUUUGUUAUAUUUUAAAAUAUUAUUUUAUUCAAUAUAUUAUAUUUCAGUUUAAUAUUUUUACUUUUACUAAAAAUAUCAACAUUAAAUGUUACAACGAAUAAAAUAUUAUUUAUUUUGUUUUAUAUAAAAAAUUAAUUUGAUAAUUUAAAAAGAAUUGGGUUAUACUAUUUAAUUUCAAAAUUAGUUACUGGAAUAUAUAAAAUAUGGUCUAUAUUAAAUAUGGUAAACAAUCAAAUGAUAAUUACCUAAUGACAAUAUAUUUAUCUUUUUUUAGAAUUGUUAUUGUUUAGAUGUAUAUUGUUUUGCUAGGAGAAUAUCAUAUAUGAGUAGUUUUAGGAUGUUUAGUUAAAUUUCUAAUGAAUGGUCUUACAUAGACUUGUAUACGAUAGAUUAAAAAUAUGAAUCUAUUUUAAAGGAGUAGAUAGUUCAUUUUUUGUGCGAUAAAACCUAAAUAUUUUUAUAUUUGAACAUCAUAUUAAAUCAUUGGACUAAAUGAGGUUUUACACGGUCAAUUAUUUUAAAAAUUAAAAUAAUAUAUAUAUUUUUUUUGACAGCAAACGUUUACAGACUCAUGUUGACUCUGUAAACUAAAGUGGCAACUCCGCAUCCAUGUGAACGACGAAGGACGUUUGUUUCCUAGCAUUGCGUGUUAAGCUAUCAGUCCGUAUAUUCAUCGUUCGGUAAACAUGAACGAUGUCUGAGUUUAGAAAGCUUCCUUUUAAAAGCUUGAUAUCUUCUAAGUAGCUUCCAAAUGCUGGUCAUUCUUCUGGUUCCGAAACCAUCUUUACCAGCUGAGAACAAUCUGUUGCAAUUGUUACUUGGAACUGUCUUAAGUUCUUCAUACAUUCUAUUGCCCAAAUUAAUGCUUCCACCUCCGAAUGCAGGGGUGAAAGGCUUGCCCUGACAUUCCUUACCCCUAAUAAACCAUCAAAAACUGGUAAAGUACUAUACCAGCCUUGGCCGGAAAAAAAUUCUUUACCCGAUAAAUUAAAAUAAUAUCUAAUCUGUAGGGUCUUAAUUUUUAUCUACCAUAAAAAAAUCUAACUAACCAGAAAUUUAAUAAAAUAUCCUAAAUUUAUUCAUAGAUAAUAUUUUUUUAAUAAAAACAAUAUAAAUCUAAACAAUAAGAUUUCAUGUGUUGAACAAAUUUUUUUUUAUGUAAAAGCCAAAUACGUUUAUAUUAUGCAAUUGGUUUUUCUACCAUAUUUAAUCUAGGCCAGAUUUUAUAGUAAAAAAAUAAAAAAAAAAAACUAAAAUAUAAUACAUUAAAUAAAAUAUAUUUUUAAAACAUAAUAUUAACUAAUUUAAUUUAGUCACAUAAUAUUUCAAGAAUAUAAACGUUUAAAAAAAAUAAAAAAAUUGUAAUAAUUCGUAUAAAAAUAAUGUUUAAAAGUAAAUUAUUAAUAUGACGUUACAUUUCUAAAUAAGAAAAUAAAAUAAAAGGCAACUCUCUUAAAUAGACCAUUUUCAAGUUCUUAUCACAAAAAUAGAACUUAAGGAGGAAAAUGACCAAAAUUUUUCAUUUAAUAGGUAAACAUAUUUUAAUACCCUGGAUAUAUAAAUAUAAAUAAUUUUUUUUUUAUAAUAUCAGAUUAUAUGUUUUCAAAUUUGAACUUUUUUAUAAACUCUUUCUUUUAUUUUUUUUAAUUCAAAAUACUUUUUGCAACAAUUUUUAUAAUUUCACAUUUAUAAAAUUAUUUUUUAUUUUAUAAAAUUUUAAAACUUAAUCUCAGAGGUAUAAAUAUAUAUUUACCUCUUUAAUAAAACAUUUUGAUCAUUUUGAUCCUUAGAGUCUAUAUUUAUGACAAUGAUUUUUUUAUUGCUAUCCUAUGGUAUUUUUCUAAAUAAAUGGUGACUAUAUGAUUAGUAUAAUUUUAUAAAUAUAAAUUUCAAUAUAUAUAAAAUUUUCAAAAAUAUUUUUGUAUAUAAAUAGAAGUUAUUUUAUAUUUUAAAGAUUUUUUUUUUGUCAAUUAUAUUUUAAAGAUUUUUUUUUGAAAACAAAUAUGUAUCCAUACGGACGCGUGUGUUUAAUUCUAGGAACACUAUAAAAAAUGUUCUUAUAUACCAAUUAAUCAAUAAACUAUAGAAACUGGAAGAAUCAACGAAUUUUAAAAAAUAGUUACUAUUGUGUGUACUAAAGGAAGACGUUCCAGUCCACAUAAGUUGCGGUCAAAUUAGAUUAUUUGUAGCAGUUAAAAAAUACAUUUAAUGUUCUUGGAUAGAGUGAUACAAGUUGAGGCAUGGAUAAAUCGAUCUAUAAUUCUAUCUCACGUCAAACAAUGCAAAGGAUAAGCCGUAAUCUUUAAAGAUAAGACUGUUAUUGCUUUAUUAGUUCGCUAAUUAAUUUAUUAUAAUCAGUUCUAUACUUCUAUUUAAUAUUUUUUCCAAUUGAUAAAAGUCGCCUGGAAAAAAAAAUAAAAAAAAUUGAAUCACAGGUCUUCCAAUUGAUAAGAGAGUAAAGAGAUUCAUCAAGAUUAAGGAAUCUUUCUGGUCGAAGCCGGGAAAAACGAUGGGUUCCAUUGAAGAAGAAGAAGCGCCUCUCAUCGAACAAGGUUUAAUCUCACAGGUUUGAUGGAGUUUCUUAUCGCUUGAAUUCCUUCCGCCUUAGGUUUCUCUGUUUUGACUUGAUCUUUCUGGUUUGUUGAUCAUCUUCCCAUGUAUCUGUUUGAAACUCUGAACAAGUGUGUUUCCAAUAUUGGAAAUGAAGAAAUCAAAUUAGCUUUUCAUUAGGGAAAAAUAUAGCCUUUCUUUCCUAAUUUUGCUUUGAUUUCAUGACUUUUUUUUUGAUUAGUUUAGCUAAUUUGAAGCUCGAUUUCAUUUGCACAUUAUUAUUGUUGACUGCUUUGACUCUUUGGCUAAAGAUGUCUUUUUUUUUGUUUUUUAAUUUUCAUUUUGUUUAAUCAGGCACCGAAACUGUAUGCUGAAGAUGGUUCAGUAGACCUUCAUGGGAACCCACCACUGAAGGCUAAAACAGGAAACUGGAAAGCUUGCCCUUUCAUUCUCGGUAAACAUAAAAAUAAAAAAAAAAACAAUUUAUUUCCUUGUUUUUGUUAUGCUAGUUGCUUUAAUCUCUAACCUUUUUAAGAUGGUUUUAACGUGUACUAGGCAAUGAGUGCUGCGAGAGGCUAGCUUACUAUGGUAUCGCCGGGAACCUAAUCACUUACCUCACCACUAAACUACACCAAGGAAACGUCUCCGCUGCUACAAACGUCACCACAUGGCAAGGCACUUGCUAUCUCACCCCUCUCAUCGGUGCUGUCCUAGCCGAUGCUUACUGGGGUCGUUACUGGACCAUCGCUUGUUUCUCCGGCAUUUACUUCAUCGUAACCACAAAUCCCAGUCAGUUGAUUUUUUUUUUGGGUUUUGUUUGCUCUGUUUACUGAUUAGUUCCUUUUUUUUUUUGUUUUAGGGCAUGUCUGCACUAACUCUCUCAGCUUCAGUUCCAGCACUGAAGCCAGCAGAAUGCAUUGGCACCUACUGUCCAUCAGCAACGCCAGCUCAGUACGCCAUGUUCUUCAGCGGGCUUUACCUGAUCGCCCUCGGCACUGGAGGCAUCAAACCAUGCGUCUCAUCCUUCGGUGCAGACCAGUUCGACGACACUGACUCGCGAGAGCGAGUCAGAAAAGCUUCCUUCUUCAACUGGUUUUACUUCUCCAUCAACAUUGGAGCGCUCGUGUCCUCUAGUCUUCUAGUUUGGAUCCAAGAGAAUCGCGGAUGGGGUUUAGGGUUUGGUAUACCGACAGUGUUCAUGGGUCUAGCCAUUGUGAGUUUCUUCUUUGGCACGCCGCUUUACAGGUUUCAGAAGCCUGGAGGCAGCCCCAUAACUCGCAUCUCCCAAGUCGUGGUUGCGUCCUUCCGUAAAUCGACUCUUAAAGUCCCUGAAGACGCUGCACUUUUGUAUGAAACGCAGGACAAGAACUCUGCUAUUGCUGGAAGUAGAAAGAUCGAACAUACCGAUGAUUGCAAGUAUCUUGACAAAGCUGCUGUUAUUUCAGAUGAAGAAUCCAAAUCAGGAGACUUUUCAAACUCGUGGAGACUAUGCACUGUCACUCAAGUGGAAGAACUCAAGAUUCUGAUCCGUAUGUUCCCAAUAUGGGCCUCUGGUAUCAUCUUCUCAGCCGUAUACGCUCAGAUGUCAACCAUGUUUGUUCAGCAAGGCCGAGCCAUGGACUGCAAGAUCGGCUCCUUCCAGCUUCCUCCAGCGGCGCUAGGGACGUUCGACACUGCUAGCGUCAUCAUCUGGGUUCCGCUCUACGAUAGGUUCAUCGUCCCUUUAGCUAGACGUUUCACUGGAGUAGACAAAGGGUUCACAGAGAUACAGAGAAUGGGAAUAGGGCUAUUCGUCUCUGUUCUAUGCAUGGCGGCUGCAGCUAUCAUUGAGAUCAUCAGGCUCCGUUUAGCCGACGAGCUCGGGUUGGUUGAGUCCGGAGCUCCGGUUCCUAUAUCCGUGUUGUGGCAGAUUCCUCAGUACUUCAUCCUCGGUGCAGCGGAAGUGUUUUACUUCAUUGGCCAGCUUGAGUUUUUCUAUGAUCAGUCUCCAGAUGCGAUGAGGAGUUUGUGCAGUGCUUUGGCUCUUUUGACCAAUGCUCUUGGGAACUACUUGAGUUCGUUGAUCCUCACGCUUGUGACUUACUUCACGACGAGGAAUGGUGGUGAAGGUUGGAUCUCGGAUAAUCUGAAUACGGGUCAUCUUGAUUACUUCUUCUGGCUUUUGGCGGGUCUUAGUCUUGUCAACAUGGCGGUUUACUUCUUCUCUGCGGCUAAGUAUAAGCAGAAGAAGGCUUCGUAGUGAGAAUCUGUGUUUCGUCUCUCCGUUCUUUACAAACAAAGUUUGUGUUCUUUUCAUGUGUAAUUGUCUGUAUUUUUAAUACCUUUGCUUUCAGUUUCAAAAGUUUGCACAUGCAUUUGCAAUAGUCCUCUAUUUGGUUAUUUUGAAACCAGGUUCGAUUUGAAUUAAGUUUAUUGUCCCAAAUCACUGUGAAAUCAAACAAUAAGUAUCAGAAGUUAACCAAAAAAUAUUCAAAAGUCUAUAAUUCAAAAACUCAAUAAAAACUAUAUAAACUAUCUAUUCAAAAUAAACUGAAUUGACCAAAAAUCCGAUAGGAAAGCUAUCAAAACUCUCCAAAAAUACUAUAAGUGUUCAAAUUCCCAAAAAUUAAAGAAAAUAAGUUUAUAACUUCACAUCAAGUUUUUAUUCGGUUUCAGAUUAGGAUUCGGAUUCAGUUAUAAACUCUCAAACCAUCACCGUUCCUCUAUCUAUAUAAGGGGCGAGUGAGGAGGACGCUGCUCAGUAAUGAUUGUGGGCUUAAUAUAACAAAAGGCCAUUAAAUGUGGGCUUAGUAAAUAAAACGGGCCCAAUAUGACCCGGAACGAAGAAUCUGACAAUGUUCGGGUGAAGCAAAUCGGAGACGCAAAGAGAAAAGGGACUAUCGAAGUUUGGGUAAAGAGAUCGCGACAUUGGAGAAUGGAGGUUCCCGGUUCAUCGAAGAAGAUGAUCGCAACGCAAGAAGAGAUGGUCGCAGCAAAAGUACCGCUGGGUUACAGAGACCAGUGCGCGCAUCUCCUGAUUCCGCUCAACAAAUGUCGCCAG
rnacentral:lncRNA from 1 species